rnacentral:tRNA from 1 species
CGUUCUGUGGCGUAGUUGGUUAACGCGCCCAGUUUAGCGUAUAGGAGUCGUGGGAUCGAAGCCCACCAUAACGA